AGAGUUUGAUCAUGGCUCAGGAUGAACGCUAGCGGGAGGCCUAACACAUGCAAGCCGAGCGGUAGAUUACUUUCGGGUAAUUGAGAGCGGCGUACGGGUGCGGAACACGUGUGCAACCUGCCUUUAUCAGGGGGAUAGCCUUUCGAAAGGAAGAUUAAUACCCCAUAAUAUAUUAUUCGGCAUCGGGUGAUAUUGAAAACUACGGUGGAUAGAGAUGGGCACGCGCAAGAUUAGCUAGUUGGUGAGGUAACGGCUCACCAAGGCGACGAUCUUUAGGGGGCCUGAGAGGGUGAUCCCCCACACUGGUACUGAGACACGGACCAGACUCCUACGGGAGGCAGCAGUGAGGAAUAUUGGACAAUGGGUGGAAGCCUGAUCCAGCCAUCCCGCGUGCAGGAAGACGGCCCUAUGGGUUGUAAACUGCUUUUAUCUGGGGAUAAACCUACUUACGUGUAAGUAGCUGAAGGUACCAGAAGAAUAAGCACCGGCUAACUCCGUGCCAGCAGCCGCGGUAAUACGGAGGGUGCAAGCGUUAUCCGGAUUUAUUGGGUUUAAAGGGUCCGUAGGCGGACUGAUAAGUCAGUGGUGAAAUCCGACAGCUUAACUGUCGAACUGCCAUUGAUACUGUUAGUCUUGAGUAAGGUUGAAGUGGCUGGAAUAAGUAGUGUAGCGGUGAAAUGCAUAGAUAUUACUUAGAACACCAAUUGCGAAGGCAGGUCACUAAGUCUUAACUGACGCUGAUGGACGAAAGC
rnacentral:rRNA from 1 species